rnacentral:rRNA from 2 species
GGUCCGAGCUUGAAAGAUGGCUUCGGCUAUCACUUUUGGAUGGUCCCGCGGCGUAUUAGCUAGAUGGUGGGGUAACGGCUCACCAUGGCAAUGAUACGUAGCCGACCUGAGAGGGUAAUCGGCCACAUUGGGACUGAGACACGGCCCAAACUCCUACGGGAGGCAGCAGUAGGGAAUCUUCCACAAUGGACGAAAGUCUGAUGGAGCAACGCCGCGUGAGUGAAGAAGGGUUUCGGCUCGUAAAACUCUGUUGUUAAAGAAGAACAUAUCUGAGAGUAACUGUUCAGGUAUUGACGGUAUUUAACCAGAAAGCCACGGCUAACUACGUGCCAGCAGCCGCGGUAAUACGUAGGUGGCAAGCGUUGUCCGGAUUUAUUGGGCGUAAAGCGAGCGCAGGCGGUUUUUUAAGUCUGAUGUGAAAGCCUUCGGCUCAACCGAAGAAGUGCAUCGGAAACUGGGAAACUUGAGUGCAGAAGAGGACAGUGGAACUCCAUGUGUAGCGGUGAAAUGCGUAGAUAUAUGGAAGAACACCAGUGGCGAAGGCGGCUGUCUGGUCUGUAACUGACGCUGAGGCUCGAAAGUAUGGGUAGCAAACAGGAUUAGAUACCCUGGUAGUCCAUACCGUAAACGAUGAAUGCUAAGUGUUGGAGGGUUUCCGCCCUUCAGUGCUGCAGCUAACGCAUUAAGCAUUCCGCCUGGGGAGUACGGCCGCAAGGCUGAAACUCAAAGGAAUUGAC